UCCUAGGUUAAUUCCAUCAUAUUAGCCUUUGAAAUUGUUUUCUCCAGUUAUUUUAAAAAUUUCCUAAACAUUUAAGUAUACAGUAUAUUUUCACAAGAGACUGUAUCAUCUUUUUCCCACUACAAAAAAAUUACAUCUCUUCUCUAGCAAUUUCCUUUGUGCAAGAAAGUAGAAUAUAGAGCAAGUUUGAACAGUAUCUAAAGAGGCAGAGUUACAGAAAACCUUUCUUCUCUAAUCAUAUUAAGCCCCAAUUUUUCUUCUAGUUAAAAGGAAAACACGAGACCAAACUUACCUUGAGUCACAACUGAAGUUAACAUAUGCUUAUUCUUCUGUGACAUACUUAAUGUGCAGAAACCAAAACAGGAAAUAAUAUUAAGAAUUUCCAGGUAAAAUUUUUCAAUGAAUCCAAAGUUAAAAACAGACAAAAAGGUAAGGGGAAAAUUCACAUAUACAUGAAAAAGAUUUCUUUUAUUCUGCAUUCUCAAUUUCAUCUAUAGAUCUUAACAAUGAUUUGUGAGGUUUUCCAUGACUAUUUAAUAAAACUAUGAAGUUCAUAAAGAACAUCAGAAAAAUAAAAUGAUAAAUUUACUGAUACAGAUGAAUUGGGAUAUUAUAAUAACUGUCUUGUACAAAUAGGAAAGUUCUAAUUAGUUUUCCACAAAAUCAUUCUGAAACAAUUACACAAGUCAGCUUAUUUAAAAUAAAUAAUAUUUUAGCAUUAUGGUAGCUAUGUUCAAGACAUGUAUUUGUAUAUUUAACAUUCUGACGUAUCUUUAAAACUAUUUUGCAAAAAAAAAAAAAACUAUUUUGCUAUUAUAUAGUAUUAGCAUCACAUUGUAUAAUGAGUAUGAAAAGAAUAUGAAAGUUUUUCUGCUCAGUACAUUACAAAAUCAUGUUCAAAUACUAUGUACAUUUUUGCCCAGGAGAAUUUGAAAAUGCUACUUAGUGACUUAAGUCACUGGACUG
rnacentral:lncRNA from 1 species